GAACGAACGCUGGCGGCGCGUUUAAGCAUGCAAGUCGAGCGGCAAGGGCCUUCGGGCCCCUAGAGCGGCGGACGGGUGAGUAACACGUGGACAAUCUGCCCCCGGCCCGGGAUAGCCCAGGGAAACCUGGAUUAAUACCGGAUGAGACGGGACCUGCGAUGGCGGGAUCCGGGAAAGGCGCUACGGCGCCGCCGGGGGAUGAGUCUGCGUCCCAUUAGCUAGACGGCGGGGUAACGGCCCACCGUGGCGACGAUGGGUAGCCGGCCUGAGAGGGUGGACGGCCACAUUGGAACUGAGACACGGUCCAGACUCCUACGGGAGGCAGCAGCUAAGAAUCUUCCGCAAUGGGCGAAAGCCUGACGGAGCGACGCCCGCGUGAACGAAGAAGGCCGUGAGGUUGUAAAGUUCUUUUCGGGAGGGGGAACAACCGUGGCAGGGAAUGGCCGCGGGAUGACGUGAAUCCCGGAAUAAGCCCCGGCUAACUACGUGCCAGCCGCAGC
rnacentral:rRNA from 1 species